rnacentral:rRNA from 1 species
AAAGUUAGUGGUGAAAUCCCAGAGCUUAACUCUGGAACUGCCAUUAAAACUUUUCAGCUAGAGUAUGAUAGAGGAAAGCAGAAUUUCUAGUGUAGAGGUGAAAUUCGUAGAUAUUAGAAAGAAUACCAAUUGCGAAGGCAGCUUUCUGGAUCAUUACUGACACUGAGGAACGAAAGCAUGGGUAGCGAAGAGGAUUAGAUACCCUCGUAGUCCAUGCCGUAAACGAUGUGUGUUAGACGUUGGAAAUUUAUUUUCAGUGUCGCAGCGAAAGCGAUAAACACACCGCCUGGGGAGUACGACCGCAAGGUUAAAACUCAAAUGAAUUGACGGGGACCCGCACAAGUAGUGGAGCAUGUGGUUUAAUUCGAAGAUACGCGCAGAACCUUACCAACACUUGACAUGUUCGUCGCGACUCUAAGAGAUUAGAGUUUUCGGUUCGGCCGGACGAAACACAGGUGCUGCAUGGCUGUCGUCAGCUCGUGUCGUGAGAUGUUGGGUUAAGUCCCGCAACGAGCGCAACCCUCACUUUUAGUUGCCAUCAUUUAGUUGGGCACUCUGAAAGAACUGCCAGUGAUAAGCUGGAGGAAGGUGGGGAUGACGUCAAGUCCUCAUGGCCCUUACGUGUUGGGCUACACACGUGCUACAAUGGUAUCUACAACAGGAAGCAAGACUGCGAGGUCAAGCAAAUCCUUAAAAGAUACCUCAGUUCGGAUUGCACUCUGCAACUCGAGUGCAUGAAGCUGGAAUUACUAGUAAUCGUGGAUCAGCGUGCCACGGUGAAUGCGUUCCCGGGUCUUGUACACACCGCCCGUCACACCAUGGGAGUUGGUUCUACCUUAAGGCAAGGUUUAAAAUCCUUGACCACGGUAUAGUCAGCGACUGGGGUGAAGUCGUAACAAGGUAGCCGUAGGGGAACCUGCGGCUG